GCCACUUAAUGCAUUGUAUAACCCCCACGGAAUGCUUAAAAUAUGUGAAUACAUGAUCAUAUUCUGAUACCAUUAUACAAGUUUGGAAAGUGCUCUUCGCUUCAGAUUCUGCCGUGACGUUAACCUGUACACAAGUCUUCAGUUGAAGUCAGAAGAAAUUGAUAUUCGUCACUCUUCCACGAGUCAGAGAGAAAUUAACAAACGAAAAUGAACAAGUCAACAAGUUUAAUUGCUUGUAUUCUGGUGGUGUUUAUUGGUUUGCAUUUCGUCGUUGGUUCCCUGCAAGGUAUAUGUGGAUUUUCCAAAUAUAAUGUAGUUCUAAAAUAUUAACUACGCUGUUUCCUUAUUUUGUUUUAAUGCAUGUAACCUUUAUUUCAUACUGUAGAUUCAGCAAAUGAGAGUAAACGUCAAGUGCUUAAUUUGUGCCGGAGAAUUCGAAGGCUACCAUGUCGUGUUGGCAAAUGGAAGCUGUAUUGCAAAUUUAUCAGAAGAAACAGCGUGUACUGGACCCAAUGUCGUGUCCAUUCUUUUUUGGGGAGCGCCAAAUGUGGGCGUAAUCACGACUUUAAGUCAGCGAUUUGUUGUGAAGUUAGGUGCUGAACCAGGUAAUCGUACCUGUAUACGGGCAAGGACUGCUGAUGACAUUUAGUAAUAGGCAUGUAGACGUAUAUACAUUUCAAUAUAGAAAAGCGAUUAAUUUAAUUAAAGUAAUUCAUAACGUAGUUUUAGAAUAAUAUAAUUAUAUAUAGUUGUCAUAUGUAACUGAAAUUAAUGAUCAGAAAUAAAAGCAUACAAAAACA